AUGAUGGAGAAGCAUUUGGCAACUAAGUUGGCGUUGGCCGAGAAGAACCAACAAAAGGAGGCAAAGUGGGAGAGAAGACGUGCCUCCGAGGAGCGCAAUAUCGCUCUUGAGGAGCAAAAGAGGAAGGACAACAAGAUCGCCGAGGAGGACCGAUUCUUGAUGAUGGAUCUGAGUGGUAUGGAGCCGAUGGCAACAAAGUUUUAUGAGUUGAAAAGAAUGGAUAUCAUGGUUCAUAGGAGGCAAGAGCUUCAUGAUCUUAUCGCCAGUGGUGGUGGUGCUUCGGCCAAUGUGGUGCUUCCGGCAAUGGUGAUGAUGGCGGUGCCAUAG
rnacentral:rRNA from 1 species